UUAAUAAAUAAAGUUUAGAGUCCACAAUCUGCAUCCGGGGGCUGAGGCUGUUCCAUGCCUGCUGAGCACUGUCCCUCCAGGAGAAAGCUGUUCUUCCAGGAAUGCCUUCACUCCCAGGCUUUGAGGUGAGAUAGCUACUUUCUCUCCAAUCACUGUCUGGAACAGGGCUGUGAGGAGCACACGGGGCUCAGGAACAGUAGAACAGCUGGGACAGGAUGCUUCCCUGUCCCCAUCUGCACCCAGAGCUUGAGCUGUUCGAGAGCCCUCUGUACACAAGUUCCACAAGGAGAAAGCUGAUCUCCCACAAGCAUGUACGUAUCUAAUAUAUUUAUUAUAUUAGCUCCAGGAUCCUAGACAUGUUAGAUGAGCUCUUUGCCACUUAAGUACAGUUCUUGCCCUGGAACAUACUUUUGCCAUGGUGUACACAAUAAGCUUGAUUUUAUUCAUUCAAGAGUUAUGUUUUCAUGACCUAAGUCAACUAAUUUGACUUAUGCUAUAUUCAGCUAUCUUAUGAAUUAACAGAAAUAAGUAAUGUAAAAAGCUAAUGAUCUAAUGCAAUUUGUUGAGAAUAUAUAUGUAUAUAUAUUGAACUGUCAAGACCUACACAAACCUAAAUCCAUAUGAAUCUAUAUCAUCACUUUCUGUAUUAAACAACUACUUCCUGAAUUCCUGACUUCCUGAAUUCCUUCAUUUUUAGUUUUU
rnacentral:lncRNA from 1 species